ensembl:snoRNA SNORA70 Small nucleolar RNA SNORA70
AUGCCAAUAACUGGAUUCCUUUACUCAUGUGUGCCUGGUGUGCAAUGGCUGUAAACAGCGGGCUCUUCAGUAGUGUGCAUAGGUCACUGCUAAUAUGGGCUGUCCUAAGAUCCUAUGAGCACUUGA